GAAAACAAACAGCUUGACAAGUGUAAUUCUGUCAAUGCUUCAAAGAGGAACCCUUUUCAAAACCGGAUGCUUUAGUUUUCUAACUGGUUUUGAAAAUUAGAAAUACCUCUUAGUGGUCGUUCGUGCCUAAUAAUUACAGAUAGGCUUUUGUGGGGGAAUAGAAGUACCAGAAUUUCAAAGUUGUGACACAUUUAAUAAGUGGUUAUGAUCUCCACAAGUGUGAGGAAGGAAGAAGAAAGAAGGAGAGAAAGAAGAAAGGAAGAAGGGAAGAAAGGGAGGGAAGGUUAAAAGAGAAAAAGAGUGGUCUAAUAAACCAUGCCUAAAAUCAGCUUGCAUUCCCAGUUAGAUUAGUCAGCUCAUCAGUUUAUCUGUCUCUGUUCCAUUUUGAGACAUGAGAUGUUUAUUAAGCAUACUAUUUUAGGUGAUGUCCAUGUAGCAGUGAUCUAUUUGUUCAAAUGAUAUAUUAUUACACCCUGUAAUUAUUUAUGGGUUGUAAUAAUUUUUUUCUGUAUAAUUGAAGCACUUUACAUAAUUGAAGAACUUCAAGAUUUCAUAUGGAAAGUGAUUCAAAGGAUAUUCGGUUACUCCAGUUAUUCAACAUGUGGGGCUAAGAACAGCAGAAGGAAAUAUGGGAGGAAGUGAAUAAAGAAGAAGUCUGCUACGUUCGUUUCUGCAAAUGCAUAUGGUUUGCUUGUAGUUAUGCCCUUGUUGGGUUAAAGGGUUAAUCACGCCUACAGACGAUGUAGUAGGAUUGAGCGUUCGAAGAUCCAGAUUCUCUUGCAGUUUGCUGCCACUUGGAGGGAGUUGGAGGAAUUCAUGCCAAGUGAAGCGAGUCAGAAAGACAAAGACUCAACACUAGAUGAUCAUGGUCAUUUGUGGAGUUUAAAGAAGCAAAGCAAGAGCACUAAUUCCUGUUUGAAAAUAAACUUCUGAAUUAUGGUCACUGGAUCUGUGAUCUGAAGGUGACACAGUGGGGUGGGAAAGCGUUCUCGGGGUAACAGUGGAGGGUCCUGGCACUCUUGUGGUGUGUAGCAGCACUGUUUAGCAGCACCUCAAGUAUUUAAAAGUCAGAAAAGAAUAAAGGAAAAAAGGACCGUAGUGGAGAGUUGAGCACAUUGGUAGUAAGAUCCUGUAACUCUGUACAUUAAAACCAAAAAUGUCAACACUAUUAUUACCAGGUUGCCUACAAUAAAACUGAAACUUAAAAUGAAAUAAAGAGUGUUCAAAUGAAUGUGAUUAAAACAAAUAUUUAAAAGAAAUCCAGAUUGGGGUUUUUCUUGUUUUCUCUGAGUAUCCACUUAAAAUGUGUGUUUGUGUGUUUGUGUUUGUGUUUCUUUUUUCAAAGUAUGCAAAAUUUAUUUAUGUAUCCCCCUUCUUUUAAAAAUAAAUGGUAGCUU